rnacentral:rRNA from 1 species
UACAGAGGGUGCAAGCGUUGUCCGGAAUCAUUGGGCGUAAAGCGCGUGUAGGCGGCUUGGUAAGUCUGGUGUGAAACCUCGGGGCUCAACCCCGAGCCUGCACUGGAUACUGCCUCGCUCGAGUCCGGGAGGGGAGAGCGGAAUUCCUAGUGUAGCGGUGAAAUGCGCAGAUAUUAGGAAGAACACCGGUGGCGAAGGCGGCUCUCUGGAACGGUACUGACGCUGAGACGCGAAAGCGUGGGGAGCAAACAGG